rnacentral:rRNA from 1 species
UACGAAGGGGGCUAGCGUUGCUCGGAAUGACUGGGCGUAAAGGGCGCGUAGGCGGCGUGCACAGUCGGAUGUGAAAUUCCUGGGCUUAACCUGGGGGCUGCAUUCGAUACGUGCAUGCUUGAGUGGGGAAGAGGGUCGUGGAAUUCCCAGUGUAGAGGUGAAAUUUGUAGAUAUUGGGAAGAACACCGGUGGCGAAGGCGGCGACCUGGUCCUUGACUGACGCUGAGGCGCGAAAGCGUGGGGAGCAAACAGG